GCCUUCGUGGCUCAGCUGGUUAGAGCGCCGGUCUCAUAUGAACUCCACUUCAAUCUCGAAGUCGCUAUGACCGCGUCAAUGCGGGCCAUCCGGAGAUCGCCAGUUCGAUCCUGGCCGAGGGCA